rnacentral:rRNA from 1 species
GACGAACGCUGGCGGUAUGCUUAACACAUGCAAGUCGAACGAGACGAAGAAGAAGUGCUUGCACGGAUUCUUUAGAAAGUGGCGAACGGGUGAGUAACGCGUGGGUAACCUGCCCUAUGGAAAGGAAUAGCCUCGGGAAACUGGGAGUAAUGCCUUAUAGUAUAUCGGGAUCGCAUGAUACUGAUAUGAAACGCUCCGGUGCCAUAGGAUGGACCCGCGUCCCAUUAGCUAGUUGGUGAGAUAACAGCCAACCAAGGCGACGUUGGGUAACCGGUCGGAGGGGGCAAACGGUCACACGGGAACGGAGACACGGUCCAGACUGCAACGGGGGGCAGCGAUGGAGAAUAUUGCGAAAUGGGGGAAACCCUGACGCAUCAAAACCGCGAGAGUGAAGAAGGUUUUCGGAUCGUAAAGCUCUGUUAUAGGGGAAGAAAAAAGACGGUACCCAAGAAGAAAGUCCCGGCUAACUACGUGCCAGCAGCCGCCGUAA